UCUACGGGAGGCAGCAGUGGGGAAUUUUCCGCAAUGGGCGAAAGCCUGACGGAGUGACGCCGCGUGUGGGACGAAGGCCUUCGGGUCGUAAACCACUGUCAGUGGGAAAGAUGGGUGUCGGCGCUAAUACCGCCGGCAUCUGACGGUACCUGCAGAGGAAGCCCCGGCCAACUCUGUGCCAGCAGCCGCGGUAAGACAGAGGGGGCAAGCGUUGCUCGGAAUUACUGGGCGUAAAGGGCGCGUAGGCGGGAUGGCAAGUCGGUCGUGAAAUCCCUCGGCUCAACCGAGGAACGUCGAUCGAUACUGCUGUUCUUGAGGAUUGCAGAGGAGAUUGGAAUUCCCGGUGUAGCGGUGAAAUGUGUAGAGAUCGGGAGGAACACCGGUGGCGAAGGCGGGUCUCUGGGCAAUUCCUGACGCUGAGGCGCGAAAGCGUGGGGAGCAAACGGGAUUAGAUACCCCGGUAGUCCACGCUGUAAACGAUGAGCACUAGGUGUGGGGGGGUUCAGUCCCUUCCGUGCCGCAGCUAACGCAUUAAGUGCUCCGCCUGGGGAGUACGGCCGCAAGGUUGAAACUUAAAGGAAUUGACGGA
rnacentral:rRNA from 1 species